UACGUAGGUGGCAAGCGUUGUCCGGAAUUAUUGGGCGUAAAGCGCGCGCAGGCGGUUUCUUAAGUCUGAUGUGAAAGCCCACGGCUUAACCGUGGAAGGUCAUUGGAAACUGGGAGACUUGAGUGCAGAAGAGAAGAGCGGAAUUCCACGUGUAGCGGUGAAAUGCGUAGAGAUGUGGAGGAACACCAGUGGCGAAAGCGGCUUCCUGGUCCAGCACCGACGUUCAGGCACGAAAGCGUGGGGAGCAAACAGG
rnacentral:rRNA from 1 species